GAUAUCAGAGCAGAGAUUGAGAGGAGGGAGAGAUUUGCGAUUUGUCCGGAAUGUAGGGUUCUCAACUAUCCCAAGGCCUAGGGAAACAACUCAAUGCCCAGCGUUUCUGUGGACACUCGUUUGAGGCCGUUUUUUAUUCAACCUCGGUAGUUCUGCUCACUGGCAAACGAUGCACGCACAAAGAUAUAGAUAGGUUAACCCUGGGAAGCGGCCCAAACUAUGAAAAGGGAACAAGCCCCAUAAAAUCAUGAUUACGAAGCUGCGGUGCAAUGUAAACCACUUCGAGUAUGGCGACAAUUGCGUCCAAUGGCGGGGAGAAAGAGCCAAAGGGAUACAUCGGAUUCUCCUGUCAGCCUGAGUAAGCGCAGCAUAGCCGAUCGGUUAUGGUUGGUUAGCCGAAGAAAAGGUAAAAAGAAAUG
rnacentral:sRNA from 1 species